rnacentral:rRNA from 1 species
UACGUAGGUUACGAGCGUUAUCCGGAAUUACUGGGCGUAAAGGGCGCGCAGGCGGCUCAUUUUGUCAGGCGUGAAAGCCCCGGGCUUAACCUGGGAACUGCGUUUGAUACGGAUGGGCUAGAGUUCGGGAGAGGAGAGUGGAAUUCCCAGUGUAGAGGUGAAAUUCGUAGAUAUUGGGAAGAACACCGGUGGCGAAGGCGGCUCUCUGGACCGAUACUGACGCUGAGGCACGAAAGCGUGGGGAGCAAACGGG